GUGGGGAAUUUUGCGCAAUGGGCGAAAGCCUGACGCAGCAACGCCGCGUGGAGGAUGAAGGUCUUCGGAUCGUAAACUCCUGUCAGUGGGGACGAAAGCCCCGAAAGGGGCCUGACUGUACCCGCUGAGGAAGCCACGGCUAACUCCGUGCCAGCAGCCGCGGUAAUACGGAGGUGGCAAGCGUUGUUCGGAAUUACUGGGCGUAAAGGGCGCGUAGGCGGCAUGGCAAGUCAGAUGUGAAAGCCCCGGGCUUAACUCGGGAAUUGCAUCUGAAACUGCUUUGCUUGAGUCCCGGAGGGGGUAGUGGAAUUCCCAGUGUAGCGGUGAAAUGCGUAGAUAUUGGGAGGAACACCUGUGGCGAAGGCGGCUACCUGGACGGUGACUGACGCUGAGGCGCGAAAGCUAGGGGAGCAAACGGGAUUAGAUACCCGAGUAGUCC
rnacentral:rRNA from 1 species